GCCACCGUAGCUCAGUGGUAGAGCACUCGAUUCGUAAUCGAGCGGUCGUCGGUUCAAUCCCGACCGGUGGCU
rnacentral:tRNA from 2 species